rnacentral:rRNA from 1 species
UACGUAGGGGGCGAGCGUUGUCCGGAAUCAUUGGGCGUAAAGCGCGUGUAGGCGGCCCGGUAAGUCCGCUGUGAAAGUCCAGGGCUCAACCCUGGGAUGCCGGUGGAUACUGUCGGGCUCGAGUCCGGAAGAGGCGAGUGGAAUUCCUGGUGUAGCGGUGAAAUGCGCAGAUAUCAGGAGGAACACCAAUGGCGAAGGCAGCUCGCUGGGACGUGACUGACGCUGAGACGCGAAAGCGUGGGGAGCAAACGGG